AUUGAACGCUGGCGGCAUGCCUUACACAUGCAAGUCGAACGGUAACGCGGGGCAACCUGGCGACGAGUGGCGAACGGGUGAGUAAAGCAUCGGAACGUGCCCAGUAGUGGGGGAUAGCCCGGCGAAAGCCGGAUUAAUACCGCAUACGACCUAAGGGUGAAAGGGGGGGAUCGCAAGACCUCUCGCUAUUGGAGCGGCCGAUGUCAGAUUAGGUAGUUGGUGGGGUAAAGGCCUACCAAGCCGACGAUCUGUAGCUGGUCUGAGAGGACGACCAGCCACACUGGGACUGAGACACGGCCCAGACUCCUACGGGAGGCAGCAGUGGGGAAUUUUGGACAAUGGGCGCAAGCCUGAUCCAGCCAUGCCGCGUGCGGGAAGAAGGCCUUCGGGUUGUAAACCGCUUUUGUCAGGGAAGAAAUCCUUUGGGUUAAUACCUCGGGGGGAUGACGGUACCUGAAGAAUAAGCACCGGCUAACUACGUGCCAGCAGCCGCGGUAA
rnacentral:rRNA from 1 species